UACGUAGGGGGCAAGCGUUGUCCGGAUUUAUUGGGCGUAAAGAGCUCGUAGGCGGCUCGGUAAGUCGGAUGUGAAACCUCCAGGCUCAACCUGGAGACGCCAUCUGAUACUGCCGUGGCUUGAGUCCGGUAGAGGAGCAGGGAAUUCCUGGUGUAGCGGUGAAAUGCGCAGAUAUCAGGAGGAACACCAGCGGCGAAGGCGCUGCUCUGGGCCGGUACUGACGCUGAGGAGCGAAAGCAUGGGGAGCGAACAGG
rnacentral:rRNA from 1 species